CAUGGACUUUACAUUACAGCAGGAUUAAGAGGUAAUAACAUGGACUUUACAUUACAGUGGGACUAAGAGGUAGUAACAUGGACUUUACAUUACAGUGGGAUAAAGAGGUAAUAACAUGGACUUCUACGUUAUAGCAUAGGAUUAAGAGGUAAUAACAUGGACUUUACAUUACAGUGGGACUAAGAGGUAAUAACAUGGACUUUACAUUACAGCGGGAUUAAGAGGUAAUAACAUGGACUUUACAUUACAGUGGGACUAAGAGGUAAUAACAUGGACUUUACAUUACAGCGGGAUUAAGAGGUAAUAACAUGGACUUUACAUUACAGUGGGACUAAGAGGUAGUAACAUGGACUUUACAUUACAGUGGGAUAAAGAGGUAAUAACAUGGACUUUUACGUUAUAGCAUAGGAUUAAGAGGUAAUAACAUGGACUUUACAUUACAGUGGGACUAAGAGGUAGUAACAUGGACUUUACAUUACAGUGGGAUAAAGAGGUAAUAACAUGGACUUCUACGUUAUAGCAUAGGAUUAAGAGGUAAUAACAUGGACUUUACAUUACAGUGGGACUAAGAGGUAAUAACAUGGACUUUACAUUACAGCGGGAUUAAGAGGUAAUAACAUGGACUUUACAUUACAGUGGGACUAAGAGGUAGUAACAUGGACUUUACAUUACAGUGGGAC
rnacentral:lncRNA from 1 species